CUCCCUCAGCGUCCGGAGUAGCUAGGACUACAGGCGCCCGCUACCACGCCCGGCUAAUUUUUUUGUAGUUUUAGUAGAGACGGGGUUUCACCGUGUUAGCCAGGAUGGUCUCCAUCUCCUGACCUCGUGAUCCGCCCGCCUCGGCCUCCCAAAGCGUUGGGAUUACAGGAGUGAGCCACCGCGCCCGGCCGGGAACCCGUUGUUGCUCAGACACCCGAUGUGGAAAUUUUUCUUCUCCCUCAGUUCAAAUGAGAUAAAGAUCCUCCUCUCCUCACAGUGAACAUGAGGUCACAGUGUCCAUGUAACUAACUCCUGGUUAAGAGGAUAUGGAUAGAAGGCACAUGUUCAACUUCUGGCUUCUGUCCUUGAAAAGUGUGAUGAUUCCAUCCUUUGCUGUCUUCCUUCCCGCUGACUGGAAUGUGGACUUGGUAGUGAGCUACCUUGGACUAUGUGGAUGAAGACAAAGAUAAAAGGAACCAAGGACUCUGAUGAUUCUGUAGAGAAGAGGAACCGUAGCUGCUCAAACGUUCAUGUGAAAGAAGAAUAAACUAUCAGAUUUAAGCCACUGCUAUUUUGGGUCUUUGUGAUAAACAGUGUUUACCAUAUCCUAAUUCACUAUUCCUUCCAUUUCUAGGUCAACCAUGUUGAAUUAAAUAUAGUGCUCUAACUUGCA
rnacentral:lncRNA from 1 species